AGGUGGCACAAUCGUUCAGUGCAUCUGGCUGUUAACCAGAAGGUUGGUGGUUCAAGCCCACCCAGAGAUG